GGGGCUUCUAUGUAGGUGCUGCAUGGUUGUCGUCAGCUCGUGCCGUGAGGUGUCGGCUUAAGUGCCAUAACGAGCGCAACCCACAUCGGUAGUUGCUAACAGUUUUCGCUGAGGACUCUACCGAGACUGCCGUCGUAAGGCGUGAGGAAGGUGUGGAUGACGUCAAAUCAGCACGGCCCUUACAUCCGGGGCGACACACGUGUUACAAUGGGAGGGACAAAGGGCAGCUACCGGGCGACCGGAUGCGAAUCUCUAAACCCUUCCCCAGUUCGGAUCGGAGUCUGCAACUCGACUCCGUGAAGCUGGAUUCGCUAGUAAUCGCGCAUCAGCCAUGGCGCGGUGAAUACGUUCCCGGGCCUUGUACACACCGCCCGUCAAGCCAUGGGAGUCGGGGGUACCUGAAGGGCGUAACCGCAAGGGGCGCACUAGGGUAAAGCCACUAUGGGCC
rnacentral:rRNA from 1 species